rnacentral:rRNA from 1 species
GACUACAGGGGUAUCUAAUCCUGUUUGCUCCCCACGCUUUCGCGUCUCAGCGUCAGGACAGGCCCAGUGCCCCGCUUUCGCCGCCGGCGUUCCAACUGAUAUCAACGCAUUUCACCGCUCCACCAGUCGUUCCGGUCACCUCUACCUGCCUCAAGAGAAGCAGUCUGCCGAGCAGUUCCUGGGUUGAGCCCAGGGAUUUCACCCGACACUUACUCCCCCGCCUACACGCCCUUUAAGCCCAGUGAUUCCGAACAACGCUUGCACCCUCCGUAUUACCGCGGCUGCUGGCACGGAGUUAGCCGGUGCUUCCUCUGGGGCUGGUCAUUAUUCCUCACCCCUGACAGCAGUUUACAUCCCGAAGGACUUCCUCCUGCACGCGGCGUCGCUCCGUCAGACUUGCGUCCAUUGCGGAAUAUUCGUUACUGCAGCCCCCCGUAGG